GGCGCAUAUAGCUCAGCUGGUAGAGUGUUUGCCUUGCAUGCACCAGACCCUGGGUUGGAUCCCCAGCCCCA
rnacentral:tRNA from 1 species